UACGAAGGGGGCUAGCGUUGCUCGGAAUCACUGGCGUAAAGCGCACGUAGGCGGACUCUUAAGUCAGGGGUGAAAUCCUGGAGCUCACUCCAGAACUGCCCUUGAUACUGGGAGCCUUGAGUUCGGGAGAGGUGAGUGGAACUGCGAGUGUAGAGGUGAAAUUCGUAGAUAUUCGCAAGAACACCAGUGGCGAAGGCGGCUCACUGGCCCGAUACUGACGCUGAGGUGCGAAAGCGUGGGAGCAA
rnacentral:rRNA from 1 species